rnacentral:rRNA from 1 species
UACGUAGGGGGCAAGCGUUAUCCGGAUUUACUGGGUGUAAAGGGAGCGUAGACGGCAUGGCAAGCCAGAUGUGAAAUACCGGGGCUCAACCCCGGGACUGCAUUUGGAACUGUUAAGCUGGAGUGUCGGAGAGGCAGGCGGAAUUCCUAGUGUAGCGGUGAAAUGCGUAGAUAUUAGGAGGAACACCAGUGGCGAAGGCGGCCUGCUGGACGAUAACUGACAUUGAGGCUCGAAAGCGUGGGGAGCAAACAGG